UCCACUCCAUUGUUUUAUUAUGUACAAACGCUACAGAACGAGGGGGACAGACACGCGUGGGGUAAGAAGGGCCUGGUGGGAGGAGUUCACAGAGCAGACGGUGCACUGGGACCAGGAGAGCAGAACACAGGCCAUAACUAUAGGGCAGGAGGUGCGGGGGCGUCGUCCCCCUUCUGUUCUCCCCCCAAGGUCACAGUGCAUGCAAUAAAAUAUAUAUACAGGAGCUAGAUCCGUCCUCUGCAGGGGCUCUGAGGGUCCAGAGCUCCCUUCGGGUGGCGGGAAGCCAGUGGCGCUCCCUGGCGGCCAGGCCGGGCUGGAGCCACAUGCGUCGGGGGAGCGGGGGUCAGUCCCAGCCGUUGUCUUUGAUCAUGUGGUUGAGUUCAAUGAUGUACUUCCCCUCUUUGUACUUCUGGCUGCUCUCAA
rnacentral:lncRNA from 1 species